rnacentral:rRNA from 1 species
CGUAGGUGGCAAGCGUUGUCCGGAAUCAUUGGGCGUAAAGCGCGCGCAGGCGGUCCUUUAAGUCUGAUGUGAAAUCUUGCGGCUCAACCGUAAGCGGUCAUUGGAAAACUGGGGGACUUGAGUGCAGGAGAGGAAAGCGGAAUUCCAUGUGUAGCGGUGAAAUAGCGUAGAGAUAUGGAGGAACACCAGUGGCGAAGGCGGCUUUCUGGCCUGAAACUGACGCUGAGGCGCGAAAGCGUGGGAGCAAACAGGAUU